GACCAGAUUUUUCAUUAACAUGUCUCUGGUUGCUAAGUAUGACAUUCAGUUUAUCUUUACUACUAGUGAACUUCAAUAAAUCAGACUUUAAUGAUGCAACAUUUUUUUCAAGUUCAAUGCAUCUUGCAGAUUUGUCAUGUGAAUCCUUUUUCAGUUGUUCAUACAAGUCCUCAAUUUCCUUAUGAUCAUUUUUCAUUUGUUC
rnacentral:lncRNA from 1 species